rnacentral:rRNA from 1 species
UACGGGGGGAGCAAGCGUUGUUCGGAUUUACUGGGCGUAAAGGGCGCGUAGGCGGAAGCUUAAGCGGUGCCUGAAAGCCCCCGGCUCAACCGGGGAGGGUGGUGCCGAACUGGGCUUCUUGAGGGCGAUAGAGGAGAGUGGAAUUCCGGGUGUAGCGGUGAAAUGCGUAGAGAUCCGGAGGAACACCAGUGGCGCAGGCGGCUCUCUGGGUCGGCCCUGACGCUGAGGCGCGAAAGCGUGGGGAGCGAACGGG